rnacentral:misc_RNA from 1 species
ACAAAUCUGAGUUGUGGGCGUGCGCUGUGCCUUGUUGCACACGCAUGCCUGCACAUUUACCCCGAGCCGGCCUAAACAGCCGGCUUUGGUUUGGGCCUCCGGGCUCAAGGCGAUGGUCGUGUGUGUGAGGCUUUGCCGCUUGCGGUGAACCUCUCUGGCCUAGCCACAUAGACGCUUGCUUUGUUUGACAGAGUUAUCAGUGUGUAAAAAUGUGCGCUCAUCACGCACACACAAAAAUGA